UACGAAGGGGGGCUAGCGUUGCUCGGAAUCACUGGGCGUAAAGCGCACGUAGGCGGCUUUCUAAGUCAGGGGUGAAAUCCUGGAGCUCAACUCCAGAACUGCCUUUGAUACUGGAAGCUCGAGUCCGGGAGAGGUGAGUGGAACUGCGAGUGUAGAGGUGAAAUUCGUAGAUAUUCGCAAGAACACCAGUGGCGAAGGCGGCUCACUGGCCCGGUACUGACGCUGAGGUGCGAAAGCGUGGGGAGCAAACAG
rnacentral:rRNA from 1 species